UAAAAAUGUUAUUUCAUUGUUUUGAAUUGUAUGUGACUGCUACCAGGAUUUAAGAUUUGAAACUUUUUUUUUUUUUUUUUUACAAAUUAUGUGUUUUGGACUUUGGCUUAUUUAUUUAUUGCAGUCCUGAAGCUUCUUUCUUAUUGAUGUUUGAAUAUUUUAUGUAUUAUGGAUAUUAUUGAUUAUAAUUUCAUUGGAAUUCCUUCAUAUACUCUAAAUUAAAUUCUGUGAUUUUCCUAUCUGUAGUUCUUAGCCUUUAGUCUUCCUGCUAACAUUUCAAAAGAUAGCUUUGGAUUUCAACAUAAUAGAAAUGAAUUAGGAGAAUUAAAGGAAAAAGUGUAAGGAUAGUUAAAUCCAAAAUGUAAUUCCAUCUCUAAGGCUAUAAAUUCAAUAUUACUGUUUCUCAAUACAUACCAAAAUUUCUUCCUAAGUCUGAUUAGUAAAGAUAGGUACAUAAGUCCCGGAUGAUAGUGAUAAUGACAGUCAACAAAAGAAUUUAUAAUAGUUUUUAGCACAGUGAUAAGGUUCAAGAUAGAUGCUCCAUAAAUAUAUGCCCAGCAAUGAGAAUUAUUCCCCCACCCCUUGGUUUGGCAUAAUGAGGAACAGCACAAGGUGAAAGGCCCCUUCCAAGCAAAGCAUGUCAGUAUGCACCCACGCUUAUCUCCAGUCCUCACAGAACCCUUCAGUCAUCAAAUUCAUUUGGCAAAGGGUAUAGAUGACUGAAGAUUGAGUCAGGCAGCACCAGACCACUAGGGAAAUAAACAUAGGUAACCCAGCAGUGAAAAUCUAGUGCAUCAAAGCAGGUGACAGCUGAAUAAGGGGCCAAGAAUUUCAGGCUUUAGAUGAAAUAUAGAGGAGCUUAGAGUGUGUAGAGUCUCAGGAAAUAAAGUAAAAAUAAUUGAAGACCAAUUUUAUUCACCUAAAACAAAGGCUUCAGGUUAAUAACAACUAAAGUAUACACAGUGCUUUGAGGUGGUUAAAAAGGUUUUCACAUUAAUUUCCACAGUUGGUCUUCCCCAAAAUUCAGUGUGUAUGAUUACAUGCAUUUCAUUGAUGUGGCAGCUAAAAAAGAGAAUUUCAGGGAGGUGUCCAUAAUCUUAGAACUUUUAACUUGCAGUGGAGGAAUCUAAGUCAGACCAGUCAACUCUGUGACUUCACCAAUGAUUCCUAAGCUUGCGAGAGCCCUUCUUCUCUGCCUAAAUACUGGUUCUCAGCUUCUCCAGAAAUUCUGCCACAUCUAAAACCUUGAUUCACACAGUGUUAACAAAAGACUACCUUUUUCUCCAUGAUGGAAACCUCCAUGGAGGAUUGCACUGGGAUAGUGACAACUGAGGAAGAGUGUCCAUAUUUUGAAGGAUUUCCCUGAAGACCAAGGAAGUAUAACCUUCUGAGGAUGCCUCUUCUGCAACCUUUACAGAAAGCUCAACCUGCCUUCUGGCCAUAACCAUAUAAAAUUCAAAAGCAGAACCAGCAUCUCCUUUCAAGAGAAAAGACAUGAGGUAAACAGCAAAGACCAACAGUAAACUAAAAUGAUUUGGAGACCAGUACAAUGACUGCAUGAGAAGUAACAGCAAGCAGAUAACUAAAUCAAUGUAAGAGAAAGUUUUAUCACAACAGAAUGCGAGAAUAAACCUCUAGUAAUCAAGGAAAGCUUCAAUGAUAUUUCAUAUCUCCCCAUUCAAAAAAGCAAACAUUUUCUCCUUGCAAUUCUUUAGCUUCAUUAUAAUGUAAAUAUAAGAAGAGGCUUUUAAAAUUUAAUCUUACUUGGAAUUCUUUGUCCUUUUAUGACUGUGAAUAUUCAUGUCUUGUCUUAAUUCUAGAUAAUGUUCAGCAAUUUUCUCUAUUUUUCUCCCACUGGAACUAUUUACUGAUGUGUAAUAGAACUUAUGUUUCAAAAUCUUUUACAUUUUCAAUUCUCUUUUCUCUCUUUUAUACACUUAGUAAUUUUCUAAUUUCCAUGAUCCAGUUUAUAAAAUCUCUCUUUGACAGCAUUCUCUCUUUGAUUACUUAUUCUUUCUAUUGAGAUUUUUUGAAAAAAAAAAUGAUUAUACAUUUUAUUUAUAAUAAUUUAAAUUGGUUCUCUUUUGUAUCUGCAUGUUCUAAUUUAUUGACUACUUAGUUGUUAUUUUAUAAACUCCUGUUCUUACUUUUUAACUGGGGCAAUUUACUUUUCAUUUUUUAAAGAUUUCAAAUAUACAUAUUUUCAAGUCUUUUCCAUCUUAAUCAUGCCACCCUAUGAUGAUAAACUCAAGUUGCCAGACAGCGUAGGGAAAUGUAAGACUAAGGGGAUAGUAUGAGAAAAAAGAUGAUGAAGAUUAUGUGAAAAGGCUACCAUAUAAUUUCUUUUUUCCUCAAGUUGGAUUUCAAAAUAUUUAGAGAAAAAUAUUGAAGUUUAAGCAAUAAUCUAGAUUAAGACAUAUGAUAAAUGGCUCACUUUACAAAUUCAAAAUGCUAUUACCAGAGGGGAAUAAAGAUGGCGGACGAGAUACUAGACAGGGUAUCUCUGCAGAAAAGACAGAUUCUAGCAGAAAUUAGA